rnacentral:rRNA from 1 species
GACGAACGCUGGCGGCGUGCCUAACACAUGCAAGUCGAACGGAAUGAGGGGGCUUGCUCCUUCAUUUAGUGGCGCACGGGUGAGUAACGCGUAGAUAAUCUGCCUGAUGAUCUGGGAUAACAUCUCGAAAGGGGUGCUAAUACCGGAUAAGCCCACGGGGACUUUGGUCUUUGCGGGAAAAGGGGGGGACCUUUUGGCCUUCUGUCAUCAGAUGAGUCUGCGUACCAUUAGCUAGUUGGUAGGGUAAAGGCCUACCAAGGCUACGAUGGUUAGCUGGUUUGAGAGAAUGAUCAGCCACACUGGAACUGAGACACGGUCCAGACUCCUACGGGAGGCAGCAGUGGGGAAUUUUGCGCAAUGGGCGAAAGCCUGACGCAGCAACGCCGCGUGAGUGAUGAAGGCUUUCGGGUCGUAAAGCUCUGUCAGGGGGAAAGAAGUGUAUUGUGGCUAAUAUCCACGAUACUUGACGGUACCCCCAAAGGAAGCACCGGCUAACUCCGUGCCAGCAGCCGCCGUAA